CUGACAGCCCCAAAGAUAGGUGCUAACUGGUCUGACUGCUGGGAGGAUAACAGUUGAAGCACAGAGGACCAAGAUUUUGGGAAGUUGACCAAAGAGAAUGGCAAAAACUUGUGGGUGUGAGGGAGACUACAGACCUACAGGCAGGAAGUCUGAUGCUACCAAAAGGAAAAAGAAAUUGUGGGGACACCAACAUCAGAAACACAUUUCAACCUUUAAAGGACUCGUGAAAAUAUACGUUCAGCCUUGCUUUUCUACGUUUAGAUCAAGUGAUGGCGCCAAGAUGUAUCCUUCUGUGGCAAAUAAUUCACAGAUUCCAACUCUUUGGAGAACCCAAAAACUUAUGCCACUGUACCUUCAGCAGUAUUUCCCUGGACCGUGGAUUAAGUUUGCUGAAGCAAAAAAAUGACGAUCUGUCUGAUCUGUUCCAACAGCACUGCCAGACAAAGGCUGAAGCUGUUGUGGAAGCUGCUGUCUAACUGUGUUCAUGUUUCACAUCUGAUGGAUUCAGUUUGUCUGCACUCCUCAGACUUCUUUCUAGAAGACAGAGUACAUUCUUUCCAAUUUAUUGUAAUUCCUGCAUUGCAGGGAAUGACAGAAUGGAUUAUUUGAUAAUUCGAAAUAGACAUUAGGAUAUAUUUUUUGGAGGUGUUUCACACAUCUCCUUCCUUAUCUCUGUCUGCAUGCAUAAGAAGCAAGGGCAAGGAGGACUUGCAUCAGUAUUUGGGAAGAUGAGAGUAUGCCAGUUGUGUCCAUCAGAAGAUAAUAGACUGACAUGGGAGGUGUGACUGGGAGCUGAUCCAUAGGACCUGUGGCAGGAGCACACCAAAAGUGGCAGGCACAAGGCACCAGGGGCACACUCAGAACUGUGGCCUUCACCACACCACGCUUACAGUAAUACAGAUGUCUCUUAACACUAAACCCAGAAACUUAUUUAGUUCUGAAGACACUGUCACGUAGCAAAACUUUUGGUGGCUCCCUCGUGCGAGUUGAAAUAUGUAUUUAUGAGUGGCAAAAUUUUCAUAGAAUCACAGAAUACACUGAGUUGAAAGGGACCUACCAGGAUCAUCGAGUUCAUCUCCUGGCCCUGCACAGGACCAUCCUCUACAGUCACACCAUGUGCCUGAGAGUGUUGUCCAAACACCUCUUGAACUCUGUCAGUCUUGGUGCUGUGACCGCUUCCCUGGGGAGCCUGCUCCAGUGCCCAACCACCCCCUGGGUGAAAAUAUUUUCCUGAUAAACGACCUAAACCUCCCCUGGCUCAGCUCCAGCCUGGAUUCCUGUCACUGGUCACAAGAGUGAAGAGGUUGCUACCUGCUCCUCUGCUUCCCCUGAUGAGGAUGUUGAAGACUGCAGUGAGGUUUCCCCUCAGUCUCCUCUUCUCCAGGCUGAACAGAUCAAGUGCCAUCAGCCACCCUUCAUACAGUUUCCCCUCCAGACUCUUCACCACCUUCAUGGCUCUCCUUUGGACACUUUCCAAAGGCUUCAUGCCUUUUCUAUGUUGUGGUACCAAAACUGCCCACAGUACUCAAGGUGAGGAUGCACCAGUGCAGAGCAGAGCGGGACAAUCACCUCCUUUAUCUCUUUUAUGAUGGAGAAGUCUGGUAAGAAAAUUCCAGGAUAUACAAACCAAAUAUAUAUAGAAAAUGACUGCUCUUCCUUAGUGUGUGUAGGAGACUCAUCAGAAAAUGACAGCUCUGUCUUAAUUUCCAUUAUGCUGAGACCCUUCUACAGUCUCUGUCAAAGGGAAAGAACCUGAACAACGGCCUAGGAAAAAACUCCUCAAUUUCUUGUACAACAAGCUUCCCACUCAGUAAAGUACAUAAUGAUGAAAACCCACAUGAAAAUGCUUCAAUUUAAACACUACAGAUGAUUCUGUAUGACCUCAGUGCAGAUGAAGUGCAGAAAUAUUUUGAAGUCAGUUUAAGCCCUUUUUACAGGAAUCAAAAUAAACUACAAAAGCGCCAAUCAACCACAAUAAUAUAUUU